CUACGGGGGGCACCAGUGAGGAAUUUUGCGCAAUGGGGGAAACCCUGACGCAGCAACGCCGCGUGAGCGAAGAAGGCCUUCGGGUCGUAAAGCUCUGUCAAGUGGGAAAAAAAUUCUUCGAUGAACAGUCAAAGGACUUGAUGGUACCACUGGAGGAAGCACCGGCUAACUCCGUGCCAGCAGCCGCGGUAAUACGGAGGGUGCAAGCGUUGUUCGGAAUUACUGGGCGUAAAGAGCGUGUAGGCGGUUUGACAAGUCAGAUGUGAAAGCCCCGGGCUCAACCCGGGAAGUGCAUUUGAAACUGUUUCACUAGAGUAUGGGAGAGGAGAUUGGAAUUCCUGGUGUAGAGGUGAAAUUCGUAGAUAUCAGGAGGAACACCCGUGGCGAAGGCGAUUCGCUGGACCAAUACUGACGCUGAGACGCGAAAGCGUGGGGAGCAAACAGGAUUAGAUACCCUAGUAGUC
rnacentral:rRNA from 1 species